rnacentral:rRNA from 1 species
CCUACGGGUGGCAGCAGUCGGGGAUAUUGCGCAAUGGAGGAAACUCUGACGCAGUGACGCCGCGUGCAGGAAGGAGUGUUUCGGAUUGUAAACUCCUUUCGGCAGGGAAGAAAAAAGACAGUACCUGUCGAAUAAGCUCCGGCUAACUACGUGCCAGCAGCCGCGGUAAUACGUAGGGUGCAAGCGUUAUCCGGAUUUAUUGGGUGUAAAGGGUGCGUAGACGGGGAAGUAAGUCAGUUGUGAAAUCCCGCGGCUUAACCGAGGAAUUGCAAUUAAAACUACUAGCCUUGAGUACUGGUGAGGAAAGUGGAAUGCGUAGUGUAGCGGUGAAAUGCUUAGAUAUUGCGAAGAACCCCGAUUGCGAAGGCAGCAUAC